GCGCUUAGUAGCUUCCUCGUCUGGCUCUACGUGGCGCGGGAGUGGCGCCAGAAUUCAAACGAACAGUCGCCUUUGGAGGCGAAGCUGCCGCCUAGCUCGAGCCAAGUACGCCCCGGGCGGAUGGGGCGGCUCGGGGUCAGGAGUGGACUAGAGUUUUGCGGCGCGGGACGGCCCAGUCUGUGACCCAUUCGAGAAGUCGCGCUAGCUGGUUGGCAGACGCCUUGGGGGAACUGACGCUCAGGAAUCGCUGCACGCCCGUAAAGAGAAAUUGGAGGGCCGAACUGCUCAGUUGGAAAUAGUUGGCGAUAGCGCCGCGUUUCUCCUCCCGUCCACAGUGAGAAGGCUGCCUUUCUGGAGAGCCGGCCGGCUGCGCUGCAAGCGGUCGAGCUGCGGUCUGUCGGGGCCCGCCCCACCCCCACGCUGCCGGGUGCCCGGGUGCCCGGCGCUGCUGUUACGCUCUGAUCAGCACAGAGAUUAGCAGACCCGAGAGAGCUGCUUCCGAGCCGCGUCUGCAACCUACACCACAGCUCAUGGCAGUGCUGGAUCCUCAACCUACUGAGCAAGGCCAGGGAUUGAACCUGCAACCUUAUGGUUCUUAGUCGGAUUAGUUAACCACUGUGCCACGACGGGAACUCCAUGCGGACUUAUUAAUGAUGGAUAUUCUGACUGGUGUGAGGUGGUAUCUCAUGGUAGUUUAGAUUUGCAUUUCUCUAAUAAUCAGUGAUACAGAGCAUUGUUUCAGGUGCCUGUUGCUCAUCACAGCACAUCUUGAUUUGACUGCCCACAACACAAGUGCUCCAUUGCCACACAGGUAGUGGCUGUUGUAUUGGACAUCUCAGAUCUAGGGUGAUUCAUAUAUAUAUAUAUGUAAGUUGGAGCACCACUGUGUUAGUGUAAAUGCAGUACUGUACACCUGAUGUAUUCUUUUUAGAAAAACUUUCCAUAUUUCUUUUGAUUCAUAAACUAAUAACUCUAACAAAUGCCAUGCAAAAUGAAGUGAAUUUAGAUCCUGAUUACUGACAAUAUAGCCCUGCAGUGAACAUGGUGAUGACUAUGAAGCUAGCACAUAACUCGUUCAAGUCUUUUAUCUCUUCAGGGAACAGGAAAGCAUACUGAGGAAUGAAGCCAGUAGUUAUUGCUCUCACACCUAGAGCAGAUAAGCAAAAUACUACCAAAUAUUGGAAGAGAGUUAAGAAAGGCCAUAUAAAGGUCAGAACUGAAAUUAAAUGCAUCCUUGAAGAAUUUAGCAUAUCGAAAAUAACUGCUUGUAUUCCAUAGCAAACUUUAGAGAUAAGGUCAUCAUUUUAAUCAUUUUUUGAAAGAAAUAUUCACUGAGCCCUGGUGCAUGUUCUAUGCUUCAGAGAGAGUUAACAUGAAUACACAAAAGUCCUUGCCCUUCCUGAAAUAUUUAUCAUUUAGUAAGAAGUAACCAUUCAACUUUAGCCACCUUAGCUUUAAAAAUUAGGUACUAGGGAGUUCCUGUUGUGCUCAGUGGGUUAAGGAUCCAGCAUUGCCGCAAGCUUUGGCAUAGGUAACAGAUGAGGCUUGGAUCUGGCGUUGCUGUUGUUGAGGUGUAGGCUGGUAGCUGCAGCUCUGAUUUGAUCCAUAACCUGGGAACUUCCAUAUACCACAGGUGCAACCCUAUUAAGAAAAAAAAAAAAAAAAAAAAAAAAA
rnacentral:lncRNA from 1 species